rnacentral:lncRNA from 1 species
GAGCAUGGCAAAUAUAGGCGGAAGGCAAGCCUUGCUGAGAAGGCAGCAGCCACACAGAGAGAGCUUCUGGAACGUACUGUUGCUAGACUGCAAGAUGAACUUGAGACAGCUUUGCAAGACAAAAGAUCUCUGCUGGCAGAAAAGGAAGAUAUUCAACAGGAGAUAAGGACAAGAGCAAAUGAAACAGUACAGGAAAGGAAUAAACUGGAAGUACUAAAAACAGAGAAUGAGCUAGAAAUUACUUCAAUGAAAUUCACUUUGCAAACACUAGAGCAAGAGAACAAGAGGCUAUUGAAUCGCCUGGCUGCACUGGUACACGAGCAGUAUGCCCAGCAGCAGGUGCAACAAGUGCUGGCAGAGCUGACUGACAGCAAGAAUAAACUGACCUGUGACAAAGGAAAACUUCAGGUACAUCUCAGCAUCCUAUUUGUCAGCUCAAAAGUGAAACAACCUAAGAUAAGGUUGCUUAAUCUUAGCUCUUUGGUAAUUAAUUUGGAGGGAAGUGCUUAUUGAUCUUCUCUACUUAAUUUGUGUACUGUCAAGCACAUAUACUGAGAGUUCUGUAUCAAAGUCAUCUUCAAUCCUGCUCAUACUGCCUUAUAGGGUGACAAAAUGCUGUUAAUGUAGCAUCUCUAUGAUUUGUGAUUAUUAACUUGCUUAAUGUGUGAAAAAAGUAGGAUGGCUAAGAACCAUUUCUUAUUUCCAUGUUCAGAAGCAUUCCAUACUCCUGGCACUGCUGCAAGCAUGCAGGUUAUGUAUAGAAGAACCUUUUAAUAAAACUCUAAUAGAUGACUGAUUUUCCCUGCUCCUUUUCCUAAUGAUUUCAUGUACUGCAGGUGGCAAGCCUGCAGCACCAGCUGGAAGCAGCAAAGGAUG